UACGAAGGGGGCUAGCGUUGUUCGGAUUCAUUGGGCGUAAAGGGUGCGUAGGUGGCGGGGUAAGUCAGGUGUGAAAUUUCGGAGCUUAACUCCGAAACUGCAUUUGAUACUGCCUUGCUUGAGGACUGGAGAGGAGACUGGAAUUCACGGUGUAGCAGUGAAAUGCGUAGAUAUCGUGAGGAAGACCAGUGGCGAAGGCGGGGUCUCUGGACAGUUUCCUGACACUGAGGCACGAAGGCCAGGGGAGCAAACGGGG
rnacentral:rRNA from 1 species